rnacentral:rRNA from 1 species
UACGUAGGUGGCAAGCGUUAUCCGGAUUUACUGGGUGUAAAGGGCGUGUAGGCGGGAUGGUAAGUCAGAUGUGAAAACUAUGGGCUCAACUCAUAGCCUGCAUUUGAAACUGCUGUUCUUGAGUACUGGAGAGGCAGACGGAAUUCCUAGUGUAGCGGUGAAAUGCGUAGAUAUUAGGAGGAACACCAGUGGCGAAGGCGGUCUGCUGGACAGCAACUGACGCUGAGGCGCGAAAGCGUGGGGAGCAAACAGG